rnacentral:lncRNA from 1 species
UAUAGUGUCUGGUGAGCACCAGCUUCCUGGUUCCCACAUCCACCUGGAGGAAGAGGUACCUAGAAAGGUGCUUUCUAGGGUCUCUUGUAUAAGAGCACUAACCCCAUUCCUGGAGGCUCUGUUCUUAUGACCUAAUCACCCCAAAGCCCCACUUCCAAAUAUUAUUACACUGGGUAUAAGGUUUGAACACAUAAAUUUGGGGGGGCACAGUCUAUAUCAACUAUUUUAUUAUAUGCUCUGCCUCGUAUUUUCUUGUGAAAGAAAGCCUAAGUAGGGCAGGUUAGCUGGCAGGAGAAAAAUGUUAACCUUUUCAUUUUUUAUGUUUUCUCUGAAGGCCCACUGGCUCUCACCAUUUAUGGAAUUGCCUUGGCUACUCAAGGGACCAGAUGUUCCCUGGGGUUGUGACCCACUGCUCCUGCAUUUAGCCUCCUGGCUGGCUGCUUGCUUGCUUGGACUCAGCCCAGUACAGAUGGCAUUACUGCUAAAUCAGAGAGAAUGACACUCGGUUUCCUGGUCCUCCUUCAAGUUGCUACUUUGUUGGCAGUCAGAGACCUCUAACUCCUUACGGAAGGUGUGGUAUUGAGGAGAAAAGAAGUAACACCAGUGUGAGUUAAGAGGGCGAGAGUGACAAGCCCAGAGGACAAUGAGAUGACCAGAUCAACUCCUAUGGAGAAAAAGUGAAGCUUCCCUGAAAGUCUGGAGGAGAUUUGCUCGGUAAAGGCUAGUAAGGGAGAUGCUGCCAUGGAGUGAGGAGGACCCCAGGGACGGCAGAAUGAGACAUGAAGGCAUUCCUGGGAAGCCCCCAGCUAACAGGUUCAUAUGUGCGGAUCACUGGAUAAUGGGAUCCACAACCACAGAAGCACAGUGUCAACACAGUCUGCUACUGCCUAGCGCCCAGUGGUCUCCUUGGAAACCAACGAGGCUGCAGGGAAUCUGGGUGGCAGGAGCUGGGCUGCCAAAGGGAUUUGCAACAGAAUUGGCCUCUGGGGGAAAGUUUUCAAUUAGUUCAUUAUUCCAACCUUUUACAAAGCAGAAUCCGAAAAUUCACAGGCCGAAUUGUAUCAGCUCAUCUGUGUACUGAGGAAGCGUAUAAUGCGGUGGAAGUUCUCACACAGACUUUUGAAUUGAACUAAGCUACACAAAAAUUCAAACUUUGGAGUGCAGACAAAGCAACCAACUGUGCAAGACUACCCACAGCUGAGGGAUGCGGGGAUUUCAACGCUAAACUGGACUAUCCUCAGAAAAUGAUGACAGGCAGUUACCCUAGGAGUAGAAUGUAGUAUCCUGAAACAAAACGGAUGCUUUGUUUUGUAAAUUUACAAAUUUGGCAAAAUAUACUUCUCAAAAACAAAAUAGGCAUGAACAUCAGAGUAAAAUAACAAGACACAAUUAUACAUAAAUCUUCAAUGGUCUAAUCAGAAAUCCAUUUCUGAUAUAAUAACAAUAAAAUUUUGAUAAAUUUCCUUUCA